GAUUGGUCAACGCUGGAAGGUGUGCGGGGAUAUCCACCAAUCAAGUGUCUGGGGUCGGAAUGGGCGGAGAGAAGGCGGUGGCGGUUGUUGACGUGAGGCGGAAAAAAAAGGCGGGAUUUGUUGCUGCGUGACUGGAGAGGGAGGCGCGGCCAUUUUGUGAGCUGACGCGACGCCUCCUCCUCCUCAGGUUGUUAUUCGCACGUGUUGGUGUCUAUAGGAAAGGAAGACGUCAUUUUUUAUUUUUGAGGAAAUACAAAAAAUACAUUCACUAUUUACUUGGAGACCAAUUUUCUUUUCUUUUGUGAUGUCAAAAUUAAACAUUGAAGCAGCUUAGGAACAGAGGCCCUUGUACGAAUGAAAGAAGAGGUCAAAUUGGUUGCUAUCGGUAACCUGUCCACCACACAGGUUUUGAUAAAUCUAUCCCUAAUAUAAUUCUGUUUGCUGUCUGAUUCCCCAAGGGGUGGCUGGAGACAUUUAGAACUUUAGUUCACACAUUUUUCCGCUUUCCAUUUUUCCUUCAAAAGAAUAACUAAACAACUGCACGUCCAUUUGUAAUCAUACUGGUUUUGAGUUGGGUUUUGUGUAAAACAGUGGGCAACCAAGUAAUCAGUCAUCAAUUUGUGUUGCGCAGUUUCUUACCCUGGUAAACAAUAAACAGCCAGUGUCAAUUUUCAAAAUAAAAUACAAAUCAGUAGUAGGUGUAAGGAUGUGCACUUGUAAGUACUGCUUA